AUCCGAUGCUGCCGAACAAAAACGCGAACGUCAUCGUCGACUGUAUCCUUCGCUCGAUCAUUUCUCGAACGAUUCACGAAUUCUUUUGGUUUUAUCACCGGUACCCGGUAUUGUGCGUCGCAAACCCCAGCGAGUCCAACUUGAAGUCGUGUCUACCGCAUAAAAGAUUCCUACAAUAAUUCAAAGAACAAUGUCGUCAGCAUGUAUGCCAGGAAACAUCGCGUUUAUAUAUCACACAAUAAAAGAAUUAUAUAUAA